rnacentral:rRNA from 1 species
UACGAACCGUGCAAACGUUAUUCGGAAUCACUGGGCAUAAAGGGCGCGUAGGCGGCUUUCUAAGUCAGGGGUGAAAUCCGGCAGCUCAACUGUCGCAGUGCCUUUGAUACUGGAGAGCUCGAGGGAGGUAGGGGUCUGUGGAACUUCCGGUGGAGCGGUGAAAUGCGUUGAUAUCGGAAGGAACGCCGGUGGCGAAAGCGACGGACUGGAUCUCUUCUGACGCUGAGGCGCGAAGGCCAGGGGAGCAAACGGG